AUCGAAUCAUUCCAGGCCCAUCUCCAAGGUCGAUACCAGUGUGUCGUGAUCAACAGGGGUCCCGGCGGAAUGAUAUUUAAUGUGACCAGUAAUUUCCAUCAACCUCAUGGUGCCAGCACAGGCACACGGCGCUGAGAUGGCAGCACUUAUUGUCCCACUGUUUCUGAUCCUUUCUCUCCUCGCAUUGCUUCCCAUCAAACUCCGGAACAGGAAACAAGGAGGGUGAGACACUCCGGCAGAUAAUCGGUGAUCGUUCUCCAGUCACGACUCAAUCUGAUUCUUCCAACAGUUCCCGGCAGCAGAGGUAAGUUAGUGAAGUGGUUAGUGACUUGUAACAGGUUUCAAAAACAGUCCAAACAGGGUGCAAAUCGCUGUGGGGUGCAAACCCAGCAAUUUUACAUUGUGGCAAAUGUACUAUUGUGUCUGACUCAUUUGCAAAUUGAAAGCAAAACAGAUCAAAUUGAGGACACCCUCCAUUUGACACUGAAAUGUGUGUGGCUCAGUCACAUCAGUGAUGGGGUUAUCCAUUGUCGUCAGAAGAAUUGAAAAAGGCAACUUACCAUCUGAAUGGGAGAGAAAAUUAAAAAUUUAUUAGUGCAGAGGGAUCUGAAUGUCCUUGUGCAUGAAUCUCAGAAAUCUAGCAUGCUGCUACGGCAAGUAAUAAGAAAGACAUUUAUUGCUAAAGGCAUGGAGUAUAAACGUAGGGAAGUGUCACUUCAACCGUACAAUGAAGUGGAGGUGCUGGUGUUCGACUGGGGUGGACAAUGUCAGAAGUCACAUGACACCGGGUUAGCGUCCAACAGAUUUAUUUGGAAU